UGAUCGUGUAGAUCGCGAUCAAUGGCAGGCAAUGGUUAACUAUUGGGACACUGAUCCAAAAAAUAAAGUUAGAUGUGAGAAGAAUAUUGAAAGCCGCAAGAGGCAAAAAAUGAAUCACACUGGUGGCACAAAGAGCUUCGCACGACACAUGGCUGAUUAUG